GGAAUCUUCCACAAUGGACGAAAGUCUGAUGGAGCAACGCCGCGUGAGUGAAGAAGGGUUUCGGCUCGUAAAACUCUGUUGUUAAAGAAGAACAUAUCUGAGAGUAACUGUUCAGGUAUUGACGGUAUUUAACCAGAAGGCCACGGCUAACUACGUGCCAG
rnacentral:rRNA from 1 species